UUGCUCAUAUAGUACCAAAAGUUUGUAUGUUAAGAUACCGCACAAUCACACAAAAUUAGCUGAUACAAAUAUUUGGGUGAAAUUGUUGUUUAUAACAUAACAGAGGUGCUACAUUUUACCUUAAAAUUUAAAUAUUUCUUAAGCGAAAAAAUUUACUUAAAUAAUUAAGCUGUGUACAACUACUUAAAUAAGUAUUUGUUUUAGGUUCUAACAGCAUUACAUCUGCUGGCUGAUGGCAAUUAUCAACACGGGACUGGUCAGGAUCAUGGUUUAUCUAUUGGUCAGACGACUGUAAGCCAGUAUCUCGAACAAUUUGUAGAUGCUGUGAACAGAAGGUAUGUUCAUUGGACCACUGAACUACUAGGCAUCAAAAACUGUGAGAGUAUACUAGGGCUAUCUUAGUAGUUUUUACUUUUUUGAAUAAGCAUCAGUGUUGAUGUAUUGUGUAAUGAGAUAGGUAUUGUUUGAUAGUUAUGUUCAGGUAGUUAGUUACAUUGGAUACAUAAUCUGGAAUUGCAAUACUAGCUAGGUUUGACUAAGGUUAAGUUCUAAAAUGUGCCAUCUAAAAUAUGCUCCUUUUUACAGACUUAAAGACCAAUGGAUAGUUUUUCCUGGAACUGAUCGGUCCCGACGAUCAGUUGCCUCAGGAUUUGAGGAUGCAUAUGGUCUGCCAAAUAUCUUGGGUGCAGUAGACUGCACUCAAGUGAAAAUAUUUCCCACCUGUGCCACACGGAGUGCAAUAUCUGAAUCGGAAAGGCGUUCACGCUCUUAAUGUACAGCUAAUUGCAGAUGUCAACUGUAAGAUCUUGGCAGUAAACACGAGGUUUCCUGGCCGUGUGCACGACUCUUUCAUAUUUAACAAUUCGUCCAUUAAGGAUGAAUUAAGAAGAUUGUACAAUGGCCACAUUGGGGAGUAUUUCCUUCUGGGUGACUCGGGGUAUGCUCUUGAGCCAUGGCUCAUGACGCCAGUGCUGAAUCCUGCCCCGGGAAGCCCAGAAGCAAGGUACUCGGUCUGGCACUGUCGCGUGCGCAACACGAUCAAGCGUACCAAUGGGUACCUCAAAAACGUAUUCCGGUGCCUGGGCCACGACCGCGUCUUACACUACAGCCCGACGAAGGCAUCGUCAAUAAUAAAUGCAUGUUGCGUAGUAUACAACAUAAUGCAACAUUAUAGAAAUGUUCCCGAGGAAAUCGUAGGAGAUAUUGAUGAAGACGCUCCUCAAGAACUUCCUCAUCGUCAUGCGCAAAACGGACUCCUAUUAAGAGUGGCGCAGGAAAAGCGUGCGCGUCUAAUAAAUACAUAUUUUGCUUA